AUUGAACGCUGGCGGCAUGCCUUACACAUGCAAGUCGAACGGCAGCAUGGAGAGCUUGCUCUCUGAUGGCGAGUGGCGAACGGGUGAGUAAUGCAUCGGAACGUACCGUGUAAUGGGGGAUAUCGUAGCGAAAGUUACGCUAAUACCGCAUACGACCUGAGGGUGAAAGCAGGGGAUCGCAAGACCUUGCGUUAUACGAGCGGCCGAUGUCAGAUUAGCUAGUUGGUGAGGUAAAGGCUCACCAAGGCGACGAUCUGUAGCGGGUCUGAGAGGAUGGUCCGCCACACUGGGACUGAGACACGGCCCAGACUCCUACGGGAGGCAGCAGUGGGGAAUUUUGGACAAGGGGGGCAACCCUGAUCCAGCCAUGCCGCGUGAGUGAAGAAGGCCUUCGGGUUGUAAAGCUCUUUCGGCCGGGAAGAAAUCGCACAGGCUAAUACUCUGUGUGGAUGACGGUACCGGCAUAAGAAGCACCGGCUAACUACGUGCCAGCCGCCGCAGUAA
rnacentral:rRNA from 1 species